AAGACAUCAGGAAAUGGGAUGGAAAACCCACCUCCUCCUUAGCAGCCCAGGUAUGCGAAUUGAAAAGAGGGACACCUAACACAGGAAGCUCAUCUAGAGUCAGUGCUGCUCCAGUCUCUCGUGCACAGAACUCCAGACAGUAUCAGAAUGGUGAUAUGACUGAUCCUCUUGAAGGGACCACAAGAACCUGUUUAC